rnacentral:rRNA from 2 species
CUAGUAAUCGUGGAUCAGAAUGCCACGGUGAAUACGUUCCCGGGCCUUGUACACACCGCCCGUCACACCAUGGGAGUGGGUUGCAAAAGAAGUAGGUAGCUUAACCUUCGGGAGGGCGCUUACCACUUUGUGAUUCAUGACUGGGGUGAAGUCGUAACAAGGUAACCGUAGGGGAACCUGCGGUUGGAUCACCUCCUUACCUUAAAGAA